CCUGAAAGUGAAAGCGAAGGUAAGUGUGAAAGUGAAAGCGAAAGUAAGUGUGAAAGCGAAAGUAAGUGUGAAAGUGAAAGUGAAAGUGAAAGUGGGGCUGUGUAGGGGUGAGGAAGGAGGCGCCGAGACCCAAAAUCUGUUUGCUGUCGGUGACAAAAUCCUGAAACUGAAAGCGAAACAGGAAGUGGAUGUGAAACAGGAAGUGGAUGUGAAGCAGGAAGUGGAUGUGAAACAGGAAGUGAAUGUGAAACAGGAAAUGAAAGUGAAAGUGGCUGCAUGGGGGUGAAGAAGGAGGCACCGAGGCUCGAAAGUUGUUGGUGAUGAUGAGGGCCUGAAAGUGAAGCCGAAAGUGAAACCAAAAGUGAAUGUGAAACAGGAAGUGAGUGUGAAACAGGAAGUGAGUGUGAAACAGGAAGUGAAAGUGAAAGUGGCUCUGUGGAGGUGAAGGAGGCGCCAGGGCCCCAAAUUAGUUUGAUGUUGGUGAAGAUGUGGGGCCUGAAAGCGAAAGUGAAACCGGAAGUGGAUGGGAAACAGGAAGUGGAUGCGAAACAGGAAGUGGAUGCAAAACAGGAAGUGAAAGCGAAACAGGAAGUGAAAGUGAAACUAAAGCGGAUGUAAAAGCGAAAGUAAAACCAAAUGUGGCAGCGUAAAGCGAAAAGGGCGAA
rnacentral:lncRNA from 1 species